GACGAACCGAGCGAACGUUAUUCGGAAUCACUGGGCUUAAAGGGUGCGUAGGCGGGCCCGUCAGUCAGGGGUGAAAUCCCACGGCCCAACCGUGGAAGUGCCUCUGAUACUGCGGGCCUGGAGGGGGAUAGGGGCGUGCGGAACUUCCGGUGGAGCGGUGAAAUGCGUAGAUAUCGGAAGGAACACCGGUGGCGAAAGCGGCAUCCUGGACCAAUUCUGACGCUGAGGAGCGAAAGCCAGGGGAGCAAACGGG
rnacentral:rRNA from 1 species